GAUUAACGCUGGCGGCGUGCCUAACACAUGCAAGUCGAACGAGGUAGCAAUACCUAGUGGCAGACGGGUGAGUAACGCGUGGUCAACCUACCGUUGAGUGGGGGAUAACUAGCCGAAAGGUUAGCUAAUACCGCAUACGUCUCCGAGUGGCAUCACUUGGCGAUAAAAGGAGCAAUCCGCUCGAUGACGGGACCGCGUCCCAUUAGCUAGAUGGUGGGGUAACGCCUACCANGGCACCGAUGGGUAGCUGGUUUGAGAGAGCGACCAGCCACACUGGGACUGAGAAACGGCCCAGACUCCUACGGGAGGCAGCAGUGAGGAAUUUCCGCAAUGGGCGCAAGCCUGACGGAGCGACGCCGCGUGUGGGAAGAAGGCC
rnacentral:rRNA from 1 species